AACGAACGCUGGCGGCAUGCCUAAUACAUGCAAGUCGAACGAGAUCUUCGGAUCUAGUGGCGCACGGGUGCGUAACGCGUGGGAAUCUGCCCUUGGGUUCGGAAUAACAUCGGGAAACUGAUGCUAAUACCGGAUGAUGACGCCAAAGAGAUUUGGAGUCCAAAGAUUUAUCGCCCAGGGAUGAGCCCGCGUAGGAUUAGCUAGUUGGUGGGGUAAAGGCCCACCAAGGCGACGAUCCUUAGCUGGCCUGAGAGGAUGAUCAGCCACACUGGGACUGAGACACGGCCCAGACUCCUACGGGAGGCAGCAGUAGGGAAUAUUGGACAAUGGGGGCAACCCUGAUCCAGCAAUGCCGCGUGAGUGAUGAAGGCCUUAGGGUUGUAAAGCUCUUUUACCCGGGAUGAUAAUGACAGUACCGGGAGAAUAAGCCCCGGCUAACUCCGUGCCAGCCGCCGCUGUAACAC
rnacentral:rRNA from 1 species